rnacentral:tRNA from 1 species
GCCUAGGUUAGCCUAGUGGACAUGGCAUCUGCCUGGUAAGCGGAACACUGUGAGUUCGAUUCCCAUCCCGAUUAGAUA